GACUGUUUGGUGCCUCGAUCGCCCUAACUCGCGAGUCUGGAUGAGAGAAUGAGGUUGGGACUUGGAGGUGUCCUUGUCGCUACUGUGGGCAAGCGGUUCUCAAGGUGCUCAUAAGAUAUGCCAGGCUCAACUGGGAAACUCCUUCCGUUUGAUUUCAUCACGGUUACCUAGAGCCUCACACUUUAAUAGCAACGACUAUAUUUCUGAAUAGAUAUUUAACUUAUUUCAUUAAAGCGACUUGCGAAAUGCGUUUACUAGAGAGAUCAACUUGAUGACAAGAAUUGUGUAUUUAGAAAUAUAGUCAUAGCUAUUAAAAGAGUUGUUAUAAUUUAGCAUCUUAUGCCAUUUUUAAUGGUUCUCCGCUUUUGCGUUUUUCCAAAACAGGACUUUUAUAGGUAAAAUUAUACACCUGACAGUUUUGGUUUUGGCUGUGGCUAAUCAGACAAAAAAUAUAUACACAUAAGGCUAAGUAUCUUGAAUAAUCUUAUUUUGCCAAUUGUGUGUAUGUAAGCUUUCACACUUUAAACUAGAAAUUUGUUGAAAUGAUAUAUUCCAUCGAAUUUCUGAAACAAACAUUUACGUAUGACGUUGCUGUGGAUUUGAAAGCUGUAUCUCGUUAAGUAAUAUAUUUUUCCUGACAAAGAAAAUUGAGGAGAGCAUCACUUCCCAGCACAUUAGGGACCAAAAGUGUUAAUUCCGUACUACGUGAAGGCAGAUAAAUAGCUUAUCUUCAUUUUCAUAAUUCAUGCCUGUGAUUAUGUUUCUUCCAAAGUUUCUUUGAAGUUUGUCGCAAUGUAUUUUUUUUUCAGAAAAAAAAAAUCAGUUCAGUGUUAGAUAUCCAAGAGGACAUACGUAUGAAAAUUGACAACUAUGUACAUGAUACAGAAGUAUGCACAAAUCUGCAAGAUUCAUGCCGUGUUUCAUGAGAAGUGUAUCUUGUGUAUUACUUCCACCGAACUUUGUGUGUUAUAAACGAUGUUUAUAGAUGUUAUAAACAAUGGAGCCUUAAUUUCCAGGAAGUGUUUAAUUAGCAGAUGGUUUAAACUCGCUGAUGUUUGGCCGUCAUCAUUAUAUAUAACAACUUGGAGAUAAAAUUGUAGUAUACAAUUUGAGAAAGAAUUUUAUUUGUGAAAAAAAAAAACCACAGCGAUGUGAUGUUUUGAAAAAACUUCUUUAGGGAAUAACAGGAGGUGGAGGGAACACUUUGUUUUGCCAAAUUCCCUAAGGUUUAUUCAUUAUUUGCUCUUUAAAUGGACAUUUUAGGUUUGUAAGAACUUUUUUUUUCCUUUGAAGGUAAAAGGGAUGCAUUUUAAAGAUUCACGUCUUUUGUCCCCUCGUUUUUCUCCCCCGUCCCGACAACCCACCAAGUCAUGUGUUACUGCCCUCAUCUUUCUUCCUCUUCCUUCUUUCUUUAAAUUAAAAAGUGAUUUUUGUUUUUCAAAAUGUGAGUUAGGGGUACGGCACUGGCAGUUACACAGAAUAACGUUGCUUUCUUUGGAUUAUUUUUGGGGAACUUGAGAAAAAAAACAAAACAAAACCCAAAAUAAUGCCACACAAAAGAAAGUUAUAUCGUAAGUCACAAACUGUCACAGAAAUAUAUUUCAAAAAGAACUAAACAUUUCUACUCUAAGACAUCCAUGGGACAGCUACCAUAAGGAUUGCAGUCAGUCGAAAGGUAAGCCCUUUAAUUUAUAUUCAAAUUAAGUCAAUAUUCAUAUUUAAUAAGAAAAGAACUGAUCAUUUCACCAACCUUUAUCAUUAGCAGGAAUGUACAUUUUAUUCAACACGUGGAGCUGUUUGCAGAUCCAUUCUUAAUUACGCAAAAACCCCUUUUAACACAGGUAAUGGAGAAAUAUAUGGGGGGGAAGGGGAACCCUCCCCCCCCCCCCGCCAAAACCAGAUGACAGGAUCCUGUAUUUUGCGGACUGACUGAUUUUAUUAUACCCUUUGGGACAUACCUACUGUGAGCACAUACUGAACGUUAAAGAAGACCCGGUAGUCUUGCCUACAUAUUUGUGGAGUUGCCAGAUGCGACCGUCAUUAAUAAUUAUGCCACAUCAUUAUAACUUUGGUGGAUUUUUGCAGACGCACCCGUGAUAAAGUUUAAUGCAUAAAUUAGGCACAGUAAGAGGUGGACGACAGCAAAUAAUAACAAAAGAGAACCGCGAUAAUAAUGGACGGCGAGACAAGUCAUGUGAGUGUGGUCUUCCUCUCCUUCUCUCAAAAUCCCUUAUUGUACUUGUACUCCCCCGCCUUCCCGGGAUGGCGUGAAGAUGACCGAGUGACGGGGCGAGAGGGUAAAGUGAGGUGAAUGACGUAGACACCACGACACAAUGUUAGGCAGCCACUGACCUUCUGAUGACAAGUCAGGAGGAAGGACCAUCUGCUCCCAGACCAUCGGUGACCGUGAGUAACUGAACUGCUGAAAGGAAAACUGUGGGUAAGUGGGGGAGGCUACUGCAGUGCCAUGCUUUGUGUGUCCGGUCAGACUUUAAAUUGCUUGUGUGUUCUCAGACGAGCAGAAUUUGAGUUUCGGGGAGAAGGAGGCCCUCUGUGUAGUAGAAGUGAUACUUUGGUCUGAAAACCCUUUUUCUGUCUUCUUUGUCGUGACCGUAGACCUGUCAAGUCUGCCUUAGCUAGAGAGGAGACUGACGUCCGAUCGAAAAUGAGCGGUGAGGGACGCCUGGGUGGCCCAGUCAAUUGAGCGUCCAACUUCAGCUAGGUCAUGAUCUCACGG